rnacentral:lncRNA from 1 species
GUAAAUCGGGGAAAUGAUCUAGAGGAUCUUUACACCAGCCCACCACCCAUUUAACCCCAUCUUCUUCUUCACUUCAACAUAACACCAACAACACGCGACAACAUAAACAUUCAUCAGCUCAACAACAUCGACCUAUAUAAACACAAAAUUCCCAAAGGUCCUUUGCCGCCCAGAGUUCCCUCUCUUUAUACAUCUACAUAUGAUAAGCACAAUUUCUGCACUUCGAUCGUUCUAACAUCUGCGACAUUGCAGUAUCCAUGAUAUUUCCUUUUCUAAAAAUUGUCACAAUUUUGCAAAUUCGUUUAGAGAUUGUGCGAAAUCCAACGUGGAACAUUAUCCUCAAAACUGAUUUUGAAUUAUAAAAUUCAAAAACCCCAAUUAUCCCCAAUAUUGAUUUUUACCCUAAUCAUACGAAUUCGGAUGAUUCGAUACAGCAAAAGCUCAUCCAACAAGAUUCCAGAACUCCUAAAUCCCACAUUUAAAUUUCAUUCUCAAAGACCUAAAAUCAUUCCUAUAUAAACCCUUUUACUCCAUCGUUUGACGAGAAGGUUAAAGACAGUCAACAGUAGAGAACUCCAACUGAGAAAGGGAUUUCGCUAAGACUGAAGAUUCUAGUGUCAAGAAAUGUGAUAAGACUCACUUGAUCUCAAAUUUAUAGGCUAAGGAUUGAGCUUGUUUUUGGUGGUGGUACGAAAAAAAUUAGAAGAAGCUGGAAGGCCUGAUAUUGUUGCUCUGAAAUAGGUGAUACCCCUAUUCCUCUUGUGUUCUAUCUCAAUUUAUCUUCUUGCAUCAUGAUGCUUCUUGUUGUAGCUUUCUUUUUAGUACUAUCUAUGUUCUGAUUGUGAUUUUUCAUUCAUCCGCAGUAGUAGCGCCAAAUUUCACACAUGAGCAUGGGAAUGGACUUAAUACUGUUGGCUCUUUUCGUUUAAAUUAUUUCAGCCUGUGUACUAUUUCAAGGGGUUUAAUUCUAAAGUUUCUUCCUUUGCUAUUUGUGAUUCGUUCAUGUCUUUGCGUUAGUUAGGUUAGUUUGAGCAUUAACAUGAGUUUCAAUCAUGUUUGUCUAAGCUUUACUACUAUUUCUUUUUUCCUCUUAUUAGAAAUAUGUAAGAAUUACCUUUCUGUUGAACGCGUUUGUUUAUAUAACUUUGUUCGUUCUUGUCAUUUUUAGCGAAUGGUAUCGCAAAACUCGUCCUACCACUUGGGCAAUUGCUCACUAUUGUUUUGAUUUACGAGUUAAGACAACUUAAAGUUGUUCGAUUUGAAUGGUUAGAGUUUGUCUCUCUUUGAGCUUGUAUUGCUAAUGCGUCGAUUCAAUAGGUCGAAAAUUUGUUUUUAAGGCUAUCUGUUAAAGAGCAGUGACCCCUUUUUUUUAUUCUUUUUCACAUAUUGAAGGCCAUCUCCUUGUAUGAUCUUUGCUUAUGACUCUUUAUUUUGUUUCAAUCAUUUUCCUUUGUCAACAAAUAAAUCUUUAAUUUUUAGGCGAUUGAAUUCAUCCCUAUCUCUCAGUCUUUCCCCUUUUCUUUUUCCCUUAGAAGCCUCCACUGAAUCAUGAAACACUAUGACCAAGUGUAAGUGAAUCCAUGAAAGAGCCUAGAAUUCUCAUCUUUAAGCUUUUUUGAAAAUCUGAAAAUCACUACGCUAUGAGUGUGAGUUCAAUAAGGCCUUUAAGUUAUUUGUUCGUCCUCUCUUUUUAGUUAUUCUUCUUCGAUGGACUUUGUGUGGUAUUAACUACGAAAUUUGCUUAAUGAUUUCUGAUUUUAACUGUAUUCGUUGGUUCGAGUUAUAAAUGGUUACAUUGUAUUAUUCUUAUAAUAGAUUAAAGGUCCUUGAGGGACCGAUUUGAUUUGUACAUAUUGUAACUUUUCAAGAGAUGAUGAAAUAAGUAAGUUUUAAAUUAUUAUAUGGCAAUUCUUCUUGGAUAUGUUUUUGAUUGAAAGAAGUUGGAUUUAGCUUUUUGAUCAAUCAUUGAUUAUUUUUAUGGAAUGAAAGUUACUUAUUUUGCUCUUUAUGUAUUAAUUAGGUUCUAAUCUUUAUAUCUUUUUCUUUGCAUGUGAAACUUUUCCGCAUUCAAAUGGACUUUCUUCACCUCGCAUUUCUCCAAUGGGUCAACAAG